AUCUGCCAGGAUGUUUUCAUUAAUCAAGAACGAAAGUUAGGGGAUCGAAGACGAUCAGAUACCGUCGUAGUCUUAACCAUAAACGAUGCCGACCAGCGAUUAGGAGACGUUGAAUACAAAACACCACCAUCGGCGCGGUCGUCCCUGGCUCCGUCGUCUCACGACGGCGGGCGGGGGCGGUUUAGCCCGAUGGCACCGGUGAAUGACUCCCCUAGCAGCUUGUGAGA
rnacentral:rRNA from 1 species